UACGUAGGGUGCGAGCGUUAAUCGGAAUUACUGGGCGUAAAGCGUGCGCAGGCGGUUCGCUGUGUCUGCGGUGAAAGCCCCGGGCUCAACCUGGGAAUGGCCGUGGAAACUGGCGAGCUGGAGUGUGGCAGAGGGGGGUGGAAUUCCACGUGUAGCAGUGAAAUGCGUAGAGAUGUGGAGGAACACCGAUGGCGAAGGCAGCCCCCUGGGCUGACACUGACGCUGAGGAGCGAAAGCGUGGGUAGCAAACAGGAUUA
rnacentral:rRNA from 1 species